GAUGAACGCUGGCGGCGUGCCUAACACAUGCAAGUCGAGCGAACGGACGCGAAGCUUGCUUCUCUGAUGUUAGCGGCGGACGGGUGAGUAACACGUGGAUAACCUACCUAUAUGACUGGGAUAACCUCGGGAAACCGGAGCUAAUACCGGAUAAUAUUUUGAACCGCAUGGGUCAAAAGUGAAAGACGGUCUUGCUGUCACUACUAGCUGGAUCCGGGCUGCAUGAGCUAGUUGGUAAGGUAACGGCUUACCAAGGCAACGAUGCGUAGCCGACCUGAGAGGGUGAUCGGCCACACUGGAGCUGAGACACGGUCCAGGCGCCUACGGGAGGCAGCAGUAGGGAAUCGUCCGCAAUGGGCGAAAGCAUGACGGAGCAACGCCGCGUGAGUGAUGAAGGUCUUCGGAUCGUAAAACUCUGUUAUUAGGGAAGAACAUAUGUGUAAGUAACUGUGCACAUCUUGACGGUACCUAAUCAGAAAGCCACGGCUAACUACGUG
rnacentral:rRNA from 1 species